rnacentral:lncRNA from 1 species
CAUACAUAAAAUAGCACCUGAACUUGUACCCAAAUCCCUGUUACACACUUGUUGAUCACGGGCAACCUUUUACACACCCAACCUUUUAAAAGUGUGUCAAAUACACACUACUUUUUUCUUGACCAAUUUUCCAAAAUAUGUGUGAUUCGCUCCAAUCAGAUAGUGACACGUGUCACUAUUUUUUAUUUAAUAAAUAAAACACUUAAAACUACACCUAUACCUCUUAACCAUCUUCUCCAUUUCAUAUCUUUCUCUUCUCCAUGGGAGAUUAACGCCAGACACCACCAAAAAUUCACAUUUAAUCACCAUCAUAUUAUAAAGUAAAAUUAGUAACUCAAGUACAUUAAUCACGAGUUUGUGAGCCUAGAUUUAAAUCUAACACAAGAAAUAUAAUGCAAAACUCAAAACUCCAUUAAAGUUGGUUAUGGCCAAAUCCAUGGUUGCUCGAUUCGUGGUAUAGAUUCAAACCAAGAUUUAUAAAAUUCUCUUGAUAUAGAUUUCUUUUAACUUUCUUUACCAAUUUCUUCCAAAGCUAUUUUAUAUUAUUGUUAUUAUUAAAAUGGUAGAUAUGGAAGAUGAGGAGAGUGGGUGGGGAAGAAAUGGGAAAGGGGGGAAGGGCAGCAACAAACUGGUUGUUUAUUUUCUAUGGGAGAGGGAGGUAAGUUUUCUAUGGUGAGAUUUUGGAGAAAGAAAAGGGAAUAAUUUCUUCAUUGUUGCAAGAGCUAGUUGUUUGUUUAAGCUCUUGAUGAAGAAGAUGAUGUUUUUAAUAAAAAAAUAAAAAAAAAGGACAUGUGUCAGUUACACACAAGAGUUCACAGAUUUCUUUUCCUAUUCACUCGCCUAAUUUGUGAGUAAAAUACGCUCUUGUCAUGUAUUCAAAAUGCUGUGUAACUGAUAUACUUUUAAAAGGUUGGGUGUGUAAAAAGUUGUCCGUGAUCAACAAGUGUGUAACAGGAAUUUGGAUACAAGUUCAUGUGUUAUUUUAUGUAUUCUGCCUAAAAAAUAUAAUCACGGAAGAAGAAAAAAAAUGAACAAGAAGAAAAUUAUGGGAUGUCGGAAUGCACGAGUGAAUUAAGUCUAUAACAAAGACAAUUAAAUUUCUCUACACAACAGUUUGAUGCUAGCUAUAAGAAUCCAAAAGGAAUAAUCUAUUCUUAAUGGCCUUUUAUUUAACUGAUCUUCAGGUGAAUCAUUUCCAUCUCAUAUAUAAUUUCAAGAUUCCCUCAAAAGCAGAGAAAAAGAUAGUAAGAGGCAACACUACAUCAAAUCAAAAAGCAAACUUUCAAUUAAAAAUUACAUAUCAGAAAUUAAAACAAGGUUACCUCCACGAUCAAGAAGAAGAAAAUUAGGACGAUGAGCCUGGGAUUUGAAGGGCUUAUCACCAUCAAAAGCAGAGCAACCAUUGGAAUCUUUCUUAGGAUAAACAACAGUUCCAACCAAAGAACCACCAUAAUCAGGCACACCAAAAUUACCAAUAGAAGCAUCAUGCUUUGAGUGCAUUGAAUAAGGUGACACAACACUUAUACUGUUUUUUUCUACUAUAAAUGUUGCCUCAAUUACAACAACAUUCGAUCACACCAAAAUUACCAAUUGAAGCAUCGUGUUUUGAAUGCAUAGAAUAAGGUGACAGAACACUUAUACUGUUUUUCUCUACUAUAAAUGUUGCCUCAAUUACAACAACAUUCGAUAAUAUCAAGAAAAAAGGUAAAACAACUAUGAGGAAAAACGAAGCAGCCAUGUUUGCAGGGUGAAAAGGUACAAACAUAAUUUAUUUAGUAGUGCUACUUGGUUGCUACUGGCUUUUAAAUUUUAUGGGGUUGCGAAUAUACAGACAAAAGUUGAAGAGGUGGAAAGAGGAGAAAAAACCAGAUAGUUGCAUUACAUGGGGUGUAGAAAGAGUCAAGAGAAGACUCUGAGACAGAAGAAGAAGACUUUGGAGUUAUUGUGUGUAUCUUCUUCUUGAAUAUGAAUAGUUUACUUCUUUGUAUGUAUGACGUAGAAGAAACGAAAGACUUUUGGGGGUGGAUGGUGGUGGGAAGUAAUC